rnacentral:rRNA from 1 species
CACGUAGGGCGCAAGCGUUGUCCGGAAUUAUUGGGCGUAAAGAGCUCGUAGGCGGUUUGGUAAGUUGGAUGUGAAAUCUCCAGGCUCAACUUGGAGGGGUCAUUCGAUACUGCCAUGACUAGAGUUCGGUAGGGGAGUGUGGUAUUCCUGGUGGAGCGGUGAAAUGCGCAGAUAUCAGGAGGAACACCCGUAGCGAAGGCGGCACUCUGGGCCGGAACUGACGCUGAGGAGCGAAAGCGUGGGGAGCGAACAGG